UGGGUUUGACAUCGCCGGUAAUCCUUCAGAGAUGGGGGGUCCCUUCGGGGGCCGGUGACAGGUGGUGCAUGGCUGUCGUCAGCUCGUGUCGUGAGAUGUUGGGUUAAGUCCCGCAACGAGCGCAACCCUUGUCCUAUGUUGCCAGCGGGUGAUGCCGGGGACUCAUGGGAGACUGCCGGGGUCAACUCGGAGGAAGGUGGGGAUGACGUCGUAUCUCACUG
rnacentral:misc_RNA from 1 species